rnacentral:lncRNA from 1 species
AUGCCAACACAGCACACACGUUCAAGUUCCCCCAAGCGCUGGAAGGUUUUCAAGUAUAACGGUUUCGUCACAGACGGGACCAGGGUCACAGGCAGUGGGCAAGGGGUCUGGAAGCCCAGGUGUGGGUGGACGUGCAGGCCCGUCCCGUGGCGCCCUUGUCCGCGCCCGGGGCCCCUCUGCCGGAUGCCAAGAGGCCGAGGUAGCUGUGAGAGGAGCUGGCGCGGGUGCAGGGGCGUGGGCUCACAUCACGGAGCAGCACUGGCAAGUCUUCUGCUUCGGGCCGCUCGCUCCCUCACCCUCGCGGCGGGCAGGUGCCUCGGGCUGCCUGGCAGGUGCGUAGGUGGGCACAGGGCGGGCGCUGGGCCCUUCCCGGGGAAGCAGUGGCUGGCGCUCAGCAGGCUGCUCGGGGGCUGGGGUCUCUGUCAAGAGGGCCGUGGGGUCCUCCGCAGAGCCCGGGCCCUCAGCAGCGCUUGGCAGCGGCUUGGCGGCCUCCUCUUCCUCCAGGGAGCUCUCCUGCCUCUCCUGGGGCUGCUGGCCUGGCUCCUCCUCACCCUGGAGGGGGGCCCCGGCCUCUCUCACCUCCUCUGCCUGGGCUUCGCUUCCUGCCCUGGCACCUCUCUGCUCAGGAUUCAGAUCCACCUCGGACCCUUGGAUCUUCUCCCCUCCACUCCUCCCCUUCCCCCAAUGACUCCUCCCCUUCUGUCCCCACCCCCAGUGGCUCCUCCCCUCCUUCUGUCCCCCGCCCCCACCGGCUCCUCCCUUGAUUCUGUCCCUGCCCCCACCGGCUCCUCCCCUCCUAUCCCCUCCCUCAUUGGCUCCUCCCCUCCUGUCCCUGCCCCCAGUGGCUCCUCCCUUGCUUCUGUUCCUGUCCCCACUGGCUCCUCCCCUCCUAUCCCCUCCCUCAGUGGCUCCUCCCCUCUUUCUGUCCCCGCCCCCAGAGGCUCCUCCCUUACUUCUGUCCCCUCCCCCAGCGGCUCCUCCCCUCCUUCAAUCCCCACCCCCAGAGGCUCCUCCUCUCCUGUCUCCACCCCUGGAGGCUCCUCCCCUCCCUCUAUCUCAGCCCCCAGAGGCUCCUCCCCUGCUCCUAUCCCCACCCUCAGAGGCUCCUCCUCUCCUUUCCCCGCCCCUGGA